UACAGAGGGGGCAAGCGUUGUUCGGAAUUACUGGGCGUAAAGGGCUCGUAGGUGGCCAACUAAGUCAGACGUGAAAUCCCCGGGCUCAACCUGGGAACUGCAUUUGUGACUGUAGAGCUGGAGUGCGGCAGAGGGGGAUGGAAUUCCGCGUGUAGCAGUGAAAUGCGUAGAUAUGCGGAGGAACACCGAUGGCGAAGGCAGCUCGCUGGGACGGUACUGACGCUGAGACGCGAAAGCGUGGGGAGCAAACAGG
rnacentral:rRNA from 1 species